CAAGACCAAAAAAACUAGCAACCAAAUUGUUCGAAAGUAUUGAAAUACAUUAUUGAGAAGAAGAAAAAAGAUAAAGCAACCGUCUAUCAUCCGUGGUUCAGGAAAAUUAACAGACACUAAACUAAUAUCUUCUAUCUUUGUUUCAAAUUAAAAAUAAAUCAAUCAUGUUAAAAUUUAUUUGAAAAAAAAGAAGCUGGAAGUGGG
rnacentral:lncRNA from 1 species